rnacentral:lncRNA from 1 species
CCUGGAGCAAGCGGUGAAAUUCACUCAGCUCCGUCCUCCUCCGGAUGGUUUCAUGCACCCAUAAACGCCGGCGGCGUCUACUGCGGAUGUACAGAUAUGCGGCAGCACUGAUGAACUGAAAAUUGAGCUAGUGACAUGGAUGACGUCACCGGCGACCAGCUGCGACCUGCGACUGCAGCUUUGGACCCGGUGUGAACACACCAGAGCACCCUGCGGCGCGACGUGACCGACCAAAGCGACGCGAUUGGACUGAACGCCCCUUGACGAUUUGAAAAGCUAGAGUGCAGACCUCGUCUCUGAUCGACAGAACCUCGCUCGAAUAUAACGCUCCCACGCCCACAAAUCUCACUCCACAGCCAUAAAAAAUACAUCAAAAUGGAGGUAUAUGUGUCCUGCUUCUCACAAAAGAGGUUUCAAAUCAUUAAACCCUACCCCUUGGCCAGCAGGUGACCAACUGUCCAAAUAGGCGGAAAUCUCUCCCCAUUGGCCCUAAUGUAUUUUUUCUCCAAGAAAAUCCUUAUCAUCACUCAGGCUCAGAUUUUUUAACUCGCUGUUGUAGCCACAUUUUUCGGAGUACAGACAUGAAAAACACAUCAUUGUGUUCAUGAAGGGCGGAGGAUUCGUACGAUGUUCUUAUUUUCAUUCUGGGACUUGAGGAAAUCGUGCUAUGUGAAGAAGUUCAGAACCCUAAAUUCACUGCAGUUCAGCAGCUUCUCCAUUCAAACAAUAGGUCAGUUCAUGGCUUUGAUCUUACAGCUGUUUAGGAUGCAAUCAUUAACGAGACACACACAUUCGUGUACUUGUUGCUUUGUGAGGUCUACCUUGCAGUUCAGCUGCUUGUACACACAGUUAAUAUGUGUCUGCUUCACCACCUAUCUCCACCCACAAACUUUGAGCUACAGAAACCAUUCUGCGCUUCAAAAAUUUAGCUCAUUGAAGAUAUUACGGGGUGUUUUGAGGAUUGUGAUAAUAAAUUGUAUUAAUGUGUUCAGCAGAGUCUUGUGUUCUCACAAGCUCCUUAACAUGAAUAUAUACAGAGGAUGAGCGUCAGGGCCUACUUGGAGUCCUGUUUCCUUAGCUUCAAGCCUUCUUUCUCCUGCUAUAGUUAUGCAUCCAAGGUCCCCAUGGCAACCAAUUUGUGCACCUAGAGACACACAGCUGACUGGAAAGCUGCUUUUAAUGGCCAUAUGAGACACAUAAAGCCAGGCUCAGUACACAUAGCACUGGGGAUGACACUUAAAACCCUUUCCUAGAGCGCUUGAAAAAACUUCAGCCCGUAUCUCCUCACAUGACCUUUGACCUACAGAAACCAUUCAGGGCUCUAAAAUCUAAGCUCAUUGAGGACAUUAUGGGGUGUAUUCAGGAUUUAUAGUCAUUUAAAUUUUUCACAUUUUAAAGUCACUCAGUGAUGAUUUAUCAUUUAAUUUUUCAAACUAAUUUUAACUCAUUCAAACUGAUUCAAGCCUUUCUAAUACUUUAAAACUUUCUGAUACUUCGAGGAUUUUUAAUUAUUUAAAUUUUCCAUGUUUUAAAUUAGUUUUAAUAUUUAUGCAUUAUUCCAUCCUUCAAACAAAAUCCUACCUCAAGUACGACAACUACUGCUAAUGUUAAUUAAACUAGUACUUUCCCCUCUACUUCAACUGCUAUUGCUCCUAUUUCUACUUUCUCUACUGCUGCUAUUGCUACUAUUUCUACUUUCUUUACUACUUUGACUUAUACUUCUUUUAUUCUCAAACUACUUCUACUGCUUACAUGACUACUAGUAUCACGACUUGACCUCUAAUCACACUACUUCUAGUUCUACAACUUAAACUUAUGCCACUUGUCACCUUCCUGCCUUUUAAGGCAAUUUCCUUCCUCAUUCAAACUUUGUGCAAUUUUAGACAUUUUUCUAGCCUCUUUCAGCAUGAAUAAAAUUUCCUUUUAUAGAGCAUAUUCAUACUAUUUGUCCUUCAACCAAUUAAACCAUUAUCCAACUUAUAUUUCUUUUUCACCCCUUUCAACAGCUUUAACAUUUAUACCUUUCUCCAUGUUUUAUUAGCAGUUUAGCAUUGCUUUUUCAGCUUUCAGCACUCAGCAUUUCCACGCAUUUUCUGCAAGGAAAUGCAAUUUUUCUAGUUCUUUUUGUGCCCAUAGCCUGAAGAAGACCCACAGCGGUCCAAACGUCGCGACUGGGCACUUUUUCCACACCUUUAUCUUUAAUUCUUUAUUUUGAUAGACAGUUUAUUUAGUUCUUUUACUUUUAUUUCAUUUUAUUUCAUUUUUAUUUCACUGAAAACAAAAAAAGCAUAAAAAAAUACAGAACAAUUCAUUUGUUUUAUUUUUAUAUACAGUUUUUGUUUUAAACACCUUGAUUUGAAUAAAUAGAUAGAUAGAUAGAUAGAUAGAUAGAUAGAUAGAUAGAUAGAUAGAUAGAUAGAUAGAUAAAUAAAUAGUUUCAUAGAUACACCACAUUAAUAAAUAGCAAUAAAUAAUUAAAAAGGUUAAAACAACAAUCAUGACUUAUAAGCAAGAACAAUGGACUGAGGUGCGAUAUGGGAGAAGGCGUGGUCGACACCCCUACCAUACUAAUCAGCAGUACCAAACGGGGUCGUGGGGGACGGGGAACAGGGGGAUGGACCGUGCACCUCCUGUCUCCUAUUCUAGGAGACAGUCCCCCUAUUCCCGUAAUCCUAACCCUAACCUCUAACCCUAACCCUAACCUAACCCUUUUUGUGCCCAUAGCCUGAAGAAGACCCACAGCGGUCGAAACGUCGCGACUGGGCGCUUUUUUCACACCUUAUUCUUCAAUUCUUCAUUUUGAUAGACGUUUUAUUUAGUUUUUUGACUUUUAUUUCCUUUUAUUUCAUUUUUAUUUCACAAAAAAACAAAAAAAGCAUAAAAAAAAUAAGAACAGUUCAUUUAUUUGGUUAUACUGUUUUGGUUUUAAAUACCUUGAUUUGAAUAAAUAAAUAAAUUAGAUAGAUAAAUACACCGAUAAAUAAAUAGAUAGUUUAAUAAAUACACCACAUUAAUAAAUAGUAAUAAAUAAUUAAAAAGAUUAAAAACAAUCAUGAAUUACAAUGAGCAAGAAUGGACUGAAGUGCGAUAAGGGAGAAGGCGUGGUCGACGCCCGUAGCGCACAAAUCAGCAGUACCACACGGGGUCGUGGGGGACAGGGAACAGGGGGAUGGACCGUGCACCUCCUGUCUCCAAUUCUAGGAGACAGUCCCCCUUUUCCCGUAAUCCAAACCCCUACCCAUAACCCGAACCCCCCUAACCCUAACCCC